rnacentral:misc_RNA from 1 species
GAUGAAGAACGCAGCGAAAUGCGAUAAGUAAUGUGAAUUGCAGAAUCCAGUGAAUCAUCGAAUCUUUGAACGCACAUUGCGCCCGCCAGCAUUCUGGCGGGCAUGCCUGUUCGAGCGUCAUUUCAACCCUCGACCUCCCUUUGGGGAAGUCGGCGUUGGGGACCGGCAGCACACCGCCGGCCCUGAAAUGGAGUGGCGGCCCGUCCGCGGCGACCUCUGCGUAGUAAUCCAACUCGCACCGGAACCCCGACACGGCCACGCCGUAAAACACCCAACUUCUGAACGUUGACCUCGAAUCAGGUAGGACUACCCGCUGAACUUAAGCAUAUCAAUAAGCGGAGGA